rnacentral:rRNA from 1 species
ACGAACGCUGGCGGCGUGCUUCACACAUUCAAGUCGAACGGUGAAGCGCCUUCCUUUUUGGUGGGUGUGGAUGAGUGGCGAACGGGUGAGUAACACGUGAGUAACCUGCCCCCUUCUUCUGGAUAACCGCAUGAAAGUGUGGCUAAUACGGGAUAUUCUGGGUCUGUCGCAUGAUGGGUCUGGGAAAGAUAUUGUUUCGGUGGGGGAUGGGCUCGCGGCCUAUCAGCUUGUUGGUGGGGUGAUGGCCUACCAAGGCGGUGACGGGUAGCCGGCCUGAGAGGGUGGACGGUCACACUGGGACUGAGACACGGCCCAGACUCCUACGGGAGGCAGCAGUGGGGAAUAUUGCACAAUGGGCGCAAGCCUGAUGCAGCGACGCCGCGUGAGGGAUGGAGGCCUUCGGGUUGUGAACCUCUUUCGCCAGUGAAGCAGGCCUGCCUCGUUUGUGGGUGGGUUGACGGUAGCUGGAUAAGAAGCGCCGGCUAACUACGUG